UUUGAUCUUGGGAAUGACUGCAUCUGGCAUGAUUCUUACCUUGAAUAUUUCUUUGUGAUCCCAAAGCCCACUCCCUACCUCCGCCCUUUGUAGUAGUCUCUUAUUUCUGCCACUUAGAGCAGAGAAAAUACCGUUACUGUGAGGAUUUCUGUUGAUGCCAAGAUGCUGCAAAGAGAAGAGCAAGUUCAAGGACUCUGCUGGACAAGUUGCCAAAUGCUACUUACUCUCACUGUGCAUCUCUGCUGCUCUUUUAACUCCUCUGUGCUUGGAGUUUCCAGUGAAAAGAGGGAAUAUAUUCCAUCCUUCAUACAAAAUGCAAACAUUCUGAUCACGUUAGAUGGUUCCCAAAUUAUGAAAACAUCUCUAAAAUUCUGAUACAUCAGUGAGGAUGGGACCAUGUUUAACAGACACACAGUUAUGUUUGUUGAGAGAAGCUAGUCUCAAAUUCUCAAUCCUCCAGCCUCGAACUUCCUGGUGCUGGGUUUACAGGCAUGCAAUGCCACACCACACUAACGGUGAAUGUAACUGAGCAAGAUGAGACUGAAUAGUGAUAAAGGAAUGGAAGGCCA